rnacentral:rRNA from 1 species
GUGCCAGCCGCCGCGGUAAUACAGAGGUCCCAAGCGUUGUUCGGAUUCACUGGGCGUAAAGGGUGCGUAGGUGGCCGGGUAAGUUCGAUGUGAAAGCUCGGAGCUCAACUCCGAAAUGGCAUUGAAUACUAUCCGGCUUGAGGGUCGGAGGGGAGACUGGAAUUCUCGGUGUAGCAGUGAAAUGCGUAGAUAUCGAGAGGAACACCAGUGGCGAAGGCGAGUCUCUGGACGACACCUGACACUGAGGCACGAAAGCUAGGGGAGCAAACAGGAUUAGAUACCCUGGUAGUCCUAGCUGUAAACGGUGCACGUUUGCUGUAAGAGGAAUCGACCCCUUUUGUGGCGAAGCUAACGCGAUAAACGUGCCGCCUGGGGAGUACGGUCGCAAGAUUAAA